AAAGUUUUAGUAUAUUUUUAGUAUAUUUCAUUGUCAAUGAAAAGGUUAAAACUUUA
rnacentral:tRNA from 1 species